UCUCUCUCUCCUUCUCCCUUUCUCUGCGUUUUCCCCUUUUCUCCAACAUCUCUGGCUUUUUCCCUCUUUCUCCUGUGUUGAACACCGAUGAUUUGAAGAUCUACCGGGCUACCCUUAAUUUUUGACAUUUUUGGUUGUUUUGUUGCAGAUGAAGAUGUCAAGCAUAACUUUGCAAGAAACAAGCAGAGCUAGGGAAGAUGACAAGUCCGGAUCUGAUAGGUUUGCUUCAGUAUAGUUGCAAUCGGUGGAUGAAGAUGGAAAGCAAAUGAAGAUGGAGCCGUGGAGAUGACAAGCAAAAAUUUGCAGUCUAUGGAAUUGCUAGAGGCGGUUUAAUCAAUCGACUGUUGCUUCAGUGCGAGAGUCUUCCUGCGUGAAGACUAUGGAUUUGCAAGAGGCAGUAGAGGUGGAGUGGUCGGCUAACGAAGUUUGGGAUUUCUGUAUAAAGUUCUUUGAAGAAUGGAAUCAUGUUUAUUGGAAAUCAAGUCCUGUUGUUACACUAAAUGAUUAAAUCUCACUAAAGCAACAAUCGAUUGAAGUUGUGCAGUCAAAAUUAGAGAUUACAAAAGAUUACCCUUACAGUUUGGUGGAAGUCAAUGGUGAAAAGGGGUAGUUAGAGAAGACAAGACAAUGGUCAAAAGGGUUCAUCGGUGUUUGAUUUUGUGUCAAAGCAGGGGAAUUUGUGAAAAGAUCCAUAUCACAACUUAGUCACUAGGUUUGCCCAAAUGAAGGAAAGCUGGAAUGAACAGAUUCACACAGGCAUGCUCAUGGUUUAAAGCGCUCGAUUUAGGAUUUAAUGAUAUCUCGGAUGAUGUUUUGGCACAUCUGAAAGGUGCCUCCUGUCCUCUCAUCAUCUUUUUAUUUCUAUCAACUAAAAUUAAAACUAAAUUUUCGGACGUGAAAUAGUGAAAGGGUCAUGCUCUUAUAUACGUAUAAGGUAUGGUACUAUUUAAAGCAGUUUGGCUAAUCCAUCAUACGUCCACUCUUUGAGUAUUUAAUACAGACCGCAUUCACUAACUUCUUUUGUUCCUUGACUUAAUGGUGUUUGAUGUUAUUUGCUAUCAUCUCAGUUAUUCUAACCUGGGCCUAGCUGUUUUUAGUCGGUCUAACCUGGCUAGACAUAUUUUAAGUCAAUGUAACCUGGCCUGAACCAUUUUAGUCAGGCCGUUUUUAUUCUGUGUAACCUGGUCCAACCCGUUUUAUGUCGGUGGAACCUGGACCGGCCCAUUUCAAGUCAUUCUAACCCAACUUUACAUGAAAAUUGUCAUUCUUGUUAUUUAAUCUUGUAUGGUUUUAUGUUAUUUAUGAGAUAAUCAAGUUAUGGUCAUUCUAACUUUGUAUGGGAUAUGCACAAUUCUGGAUCUUCUGUUGCUCCUUUUUUUAUAUAGGCCCAUAUUACAAAGCUCAAUGGGAGAUUAUUCAAGGCAAUGCGACAAGUGAUAUGCGAGAAGAGCUCUGGGCGUGUUGUCCCAUUGGGUUUUGUUUGGAACGGCUGGGCCCAUCCUAAAGCUAAUUAUUUAGCCUGGAGGGCUGCAGCAGAUUGUUUGCGGACCAAAUCAGCUCUCGCGCGUAGGGGCAUGGGGCUGAACGGGGAUCUGUGCUGUAGAUGUGGUUUGGAGGCCGAAGACACCAACCAUCUGUUCAUUAAGUGCCUGGUUGUGAGGUGUAUUUGGUGGCAACUCAGUGUUUGGAUGCGCAUCAGUAUUCCCACAGACUCGCACAGUGUAACUGAGCGGCUUGCCUUUUUUACAAACCAACUGGGUUCCAAAAGAUGGAAAAAGUGGUCCUUGUGGUUGUUAUGGCAGCUUUUUGGAGGAUUUGGAUCUGCAGAAAUGACAAGCUUUUCAAUGGCAAGGAGGUCCCGUACAACAGAAUGGUGGAGGCGAUAAAAGAAGAGGCCUUUGUUUGGAUUAAGUAUAGAUCGAGUAAAGCUUCCCUUGAGUGGGAUAGCUGGGUUUCGUUUAAUGUUGGGGCUCUAUUGUAAUUUGCUUUUCCUCCUUGUAUUCCAGCCAGUGGCUGGUUGCUUUAUAUUCAUAUAUAAAGUUUGUUGCAGUUCAAAAACAUAAAUAGAGUUAAAUGA